rnacentral:tRNA from 2 species
GCCGCGUUCGUCUAGGGGUCCAGGACGCCGCCCUUUCACGGCGGUAGCACGGGUUCAAAUCCCGUACGCGGUACUA